rnacentral:ribozyme from 1 species
CGAAAUAGCAAAAAGAAAGAGGAAGAAGAAGAGGAAGAAAAUAAAGAAGAGAAGGUUCCCUUAUGUGCAUCGCUGUGCGUUUCCGAUUCUGUCCUUCACGAUUUCCAUUCGUU